AUACAAUGGGUUGAUCUGUAGAAUGGAGUGAGCUGGACAAUGGGGCUACUCACCCCACCCACCUUGCAAAGUGAUGCAGGACAGGAAAUGGGUUAAUAGAAGCUCGGAUUUAGAAGAGUGCCUGGCACGCCUAAGGGCUCAAGCCGUCUGUGUAAUUAUCUUAAACUUUUUCAUUUCGGAAAUGAAACAGCUCCUCCCUUCACCGCCACCUUGGCUAUUUCUGGGACCAAAGGAAUCCUUGAAGCUGACCGGGCAGGAGAGUCCACGCUGGGAGUAAAAUCACUACAAACUGUCCAUCAGAAGGCCCCUGCUGAGUAGUUGGCAGGGUGGCUGCACAUAAUGGAAAGCACAUAAGCUUGAAGCCAGACAGAUGGGAGUUCUAACCCCAGCCCUGCCACUUAUUCCCAGGUGACACUGAGUAAGUGACUUAACUUUCCUCAGCCUGAGUUUCCUAAUCUCAAUCACGUUACCCACCUGGCACCUUGUUGGAAGGUUUAUAUAAACCAAAAUGUGUACAUGCUAAGCACAGUAUGUGGCCAUAGGCAGUUCUCAGUAAGGGGGAUGAUAAAUCUAUCAUGGGCUGGGUUUUGACACUGUUCACCCGCGCCUAGCAACUAGAGAUUCCAAGAGAUGAAAGAUCAGGGAGGAAGGACCACACCUCUCUGCCAGAGGCCUGGAGGGGAAGCUCCUGGUGACAGAGGCUGGAUUCCAAAGUGUCUCUUCUUUGACGUUGGUACCAGUCCCACUCGUGUUUUGCAUGAGAUUUGCCCCCAGACCCUGUGGACUGAGCUAAGCCCCGCAGGGGUGGCGCUUCUCCCUCCCUGCUCAGUGCCCAAACCUUCUGCUUCAAAGCCUCUAUGGAGAUAGCUUUCUCAUUUGGCCCAGGCGGCCAAUUCCAGUGGAGUAUAUGAUAUCGUCCACAGGCUGUUGGCUCAAUGUGGAGAAACACAAAACCAUCUUGAAAUGCGACUUUACAGUUUUGAUUUUGCUUGUUUAUAAAUGUAUACUGUAAGCAAGCUGCCAUCGCCUACAAUCCGGUCUCUUCUCUGGCAUCUAAUUACCUUUAGAGCAUGAAUAUCAACAUCAAGAAGAUGUUUUUUCCCCAGCCAAAGAGCAAUUG
rnacentral:lncRNA from 10 species